AGCCACCGAGUGUUACUUCA
rnacentral:siRNA from 1 species